GGGGAAUAUUGCACAAUGGGCGAAAGCCUGAUGCAGCAACGCCGCGUGAGUGAAGAAGGUUUUCGGAUUGUAAAGCUCUGUCAUCUGGGACGAUAAUGACGGUACCUGAGGAGGAAGCCACGGCUAACUACGUGCCAGCAGCCGCGGUAAUACGUAGGUGGCAAGCGUUGUCCGGAUUUACUGGGCGUAAAGGGAGCGUAGGUGGAUAUUUAAGUGAGAUGUGAAAGACCCGGGCUUAACUUGGGCAGUGCAUUUCAAACUGGAUGUCUGGAGUGCAGGAGAGGAGAACGGAAUUCCUAGUGUAGCGGUGAAAUGCGUAGAGAUUAGGAAGAACACCAGUGGCGAAGGCGGUUCCCUGGACUGUAACUGACGCUGAGGCACGAAAGCGUGGGUAGCAAAC
rnacentral:rRNA from 1 species